rnacentral:tRNA from 5 species
GCUGCUAUGGCUCAGCAGGUAGAGCACGUCCUUGGUAAGGACGAGGUCACCGGUUCAAAUCCGGUUAGCAGCUCCA